CAGAAACCUGGGGAGGGAGAGGAGGGCGGCGCUCGCGCCCCAGGCCCAGCGGAGGAAGGGAGCUGGGGGAGGGCCACACGGGGGCGGCCCCGAGAUCUGGACGCCCAAGAGCAAGUUGCACUCCCUCCCUUUCUUUUGCGCUCCCUAGCUCAUGACCUUUCCCCUCGGGUCCCAACCGCAGCCCCCCUUUCUUGCCUAGUCUCCUACGCUCUGCCCUUCCUGCCCAGCAUCUUGAUCACAUCGUUGCCUCGUUUGGAAUCUGACCCAUCCAAAUCCUACCCGCCCUGGAAAGUCCGGCUGUCCGGGCAAUCCUCCCGCAGGGUCUGCCCCGACACCCCUUUCCUUCGGCCUCCCCGACCCCCCCCCCCCCCCCCCCCCCCCGGAGCCUGUGACCUGCCUCUGUCACCCAGCGCAGUGAAGGCCUGAGGCCAGUGAGACCCCUGGGCUACAGGACCAGCCUUGCCGCUCUCUGGGGGCGCCUCCAGACACACCCACCACCACCUUCCCCCAGUUACCAGCCAGUAUGUGCAGGGCCCCUGCGACGGCGGCCAGCCUGGCCUUCCUGGAGAGCUCCAUGCUCCCGAUGUUUAUGCAGCGCAGCCCCGCCAUGCCUAGGAAGAGGCCCAGGAAGCCCAGGAAGAUGGCGGUGAUCAUGAGCGCCCGGCAGGCCUGGAGGUCCCACGUGGCACAGCCCCUAGACAUCAUGAAGUGAGCUUUCUCCUGCAGCGACCUGUAGGGGGCAGCAGUUGCCCGUGGGUUACUGGGUGGGGGCCGGUUCUGAUCUGGAAAGUGGGGUAUCUAGGCGCAGGACAAUCCAAGCCCAUCUAGCUCGUAUACAUUGGAUGCCUCAGUUUCCCCUUUCUCAAAGCUGAAGGAAACGGCCAGUUUCCUUCCCGGCCCCUCUUCCCCCUUCUCUUUGAUACUUGCCAACCUCCGCAAGGACCUUGUUCCCCUUUCCUGGGUGGGGCCGUGCCACUGGUGCUGAAGACGCUGGGUCCCUGCCAGGAGGAUGUGAAGUGGCCCGGAGUUGGCGGGUAGAGAGGAGGGACAAAGUUCUCUGGGAGCACUUUCUCACUCCCAGCCACUCCCUCUGGGGUUCCCCCCUCCCCCAUAUCCUCUCUAUCCAGGGCUGACCAGCCCUGGGUCCCUAGGCCGCUGUGGUAGACAAAGGAGAGAUUAUUGAUGGGCCACGAGGGAGCAUGGGCUGGGCGGCUGUGGGGGAUUAAAUAAUAGUCAGGACCCCCCUCGGGACCAGAGCAUCCGCCAGCCUGGGUUCUGGCACCCCUACCACCUGUGGGGCUGUGGGCCGGUUAACGCUUGUGC